CUUCAUGACAAUUGCAAAGCUGUUCUUGUUGGCGAAAGGACUUUUGGCAAGGGCUUAAUCCAAUCUGUAUUUGAACUUCAUGAUGGUUCUGGUAUUGUCGUCACAGUUGGCAAAUACAUGACACCAAACCACAAGGAUAUCAAUGGGAAUGGAAUAGAACCGGAUUACAAUCGUCUUCCUGAUUUCAAUGAAGCCAGAG